AGCUGAGAUUGUGCCACUGUACUCCAGCCUGGGUGACAGAACGAAACUCUGUCUCAAAAACAAACCAAAAAAAACAAUAAAAAAGAAAGACCACUUCUGCAUUUUCCUUAAGAUUUAUUUGUUCCUCCCACUAAGACUUCUCACCCAGAGACUAGAAUCCCCCAACUCUUCUGGUCCCCUUUGGCCCUGCCAGGUCAUCUGGUGGUCUGUCAAAGUUCUAAGACACUCUCUGGCAUAUUAGAGACAACUGCUCUCAUAAGCACUAUGAUCUGGCCUUUCUCUUAUGUCCCAGGAGAGAUCCAGCUAAGAAUAGUGAGCAUAAGGAAAUCUGAGAAAAGAAUGAUCACAAGAUGGGUCAGGAUGGCGACAAGGGUCUCCCACCUCAGUUUUGGUCUUUUUUGGUGCAUUGGUCUCCUCACUUUCACUCUCUGAGAUCUCCUCACUCCGACCCUGCUUGUUGACCUUUGGGGUGGAGGCUUCCUCUACUCUGGCCUUCUGUUAGAGAGAAAGAAAAUUCCUGUCUUUUCCCUACCUCCCAAGCUUCACCGUUACCCUCUGCCAAACAGGAAGUUCCCCCGACAACACACACACCCCCUCAGCCCCAGUGCCUGGGCAUCCUGUGGGAGGACCUGAGGACAGAAUACCUUGGCUGUCUGCCUGGACUUCUCAGCUUUGCCAUCACUGCUGGACGUGCUGACCCCUCCAGGGGAGGCCCGGCCCCUCGAUCUCAGUUCUUCCCGGGGCCCAGGGGCCUCUUUCUUCCGUCCACUCCUCAUUGACAUCUGCAGGAGGAGGAAGGAGGUGGAGAGAUUUGGAGAAACACCUAUGAUCUGCAAGGAACAUAUCUACCUGUUCAAACAGACUGCAACAUGAAAGGGUACACGCCGCCGUGGGGAAACUCCCAUCCACCAACAGAUCCAGAAACAUCCUCCAGAACCCAGCCCAGAGUCCCAAGGACAUAGCCGCAGGCCGACGUCCAAUGAAGAUUCGAAGCCCCCCGCCUACCAAUUGGACAUCCCACUGGAUCACUACCAUAGCGACACAGUGGCAAAAGGUGCCCCCAAGAGACCAUCCCAGGAGUCCAUCUGGAAGCCACCCCUGCCCCCUCCCAGUUGCCAAAGCAACUCCUACUCUCCUAUAGCACCUCAGGGAAGGGAGCUUAAAGGUACCUACCCUAGUCGAAAUAAGCCCAUGCACAAAGGGAGAUCUUUGAGCUCAAAGCAGUAACUAAGGCCUCCCUAUAUAGAUCACAGCCCCAGGGGCAGCGGACGCUCCGGAAAUUGGAGGGUGGAGGGUGGAGGUCGCAACUUGCUUGGAGUGCCUGUAAGGUUGCUCAAUUAUCUCAUUUCCAUCCUCCCAGAACCCCUUUCUUCCCAACUCCCCCUUCUGUGUUCCUGUUUUCCUCCUCAUUAGUUUUGGGAUAACCCACACUACUGGGCCCCAGUGUCCUCUCCAAGAAGUAACUAUGUCUGGGAUGGGGAAAACAGGGUCAGAGGUGACCUGGAGUAGGGGAAUGAAAACCGUCACAAAGACA